UACGUAGGGGGCAAGCGUUGUCCGGAAUCAUUGGGCGUAAAGAGCGUGUAGGCGGCCCGGUAAGUCCGCCGUGAAAGUCCAGGGCUCAACCCUGGAAUGCCGGUGGAAACUGCCGGGCUGGAGUCCGGAAGAGGCGAGUGGAAUUCCCGGUGUAGCGGUGAAAUGCGCAGAUAUCGGGAGGAACACCUAUGGCGAAGGCAGCUCGCUGGGACGGCACUGACGCUGAGACGCGAAAGCGUGGGGAGCGAACAGG
rnacentral:rRNA from 1 species